GACAGAGGGGGCAAGCGUUGCUCGGAAUUACUGGGCGUAAAGGGUGUGCAGGCUGCCCCUCAAAUGGUGUAUGAAAGGGCUCGGCUCAACCGGGCUAGGUUAUGCCAGACUGAGGGGCUAGAGAGCGAGAGCGGGACGUGGAAUUCCGGGUGUAGUGGUGAAAUGCGUAGAGAUCCGGAGGAACCCCAGAGGCGAAGGCGGCGUCCUGGCUCGCAUCUGACGCUCAGACACGACAGCAUGGGGAGCGAACGGG
rnacentral:rRNA from 1 species